rnacentral:rRNA from 1 species
UACAGAGGUCUCAAGCGUUGUUCGGAUUCAUUGGGCGUAAAGGGUGCGUAGGUGGCGAAGUAAGUCGGGUGUGAAAUCUCGGGGCUUAACCCCGAAACUGCAUUCGAUACUGCUUUGCUCGAGGACUGGAGAGGAGAUUGGAAUUCAUGGUGUAGCAGUGAAAUGCGUAGAUAUCAUGAGGAAGACCAGUGGCGAAGGCGGAUCUCUGGACAGUCCCUGACGCUGAGGCGCGAAGGCCAGGGGAGCAAACGGGG